rnacentral:rRNA from 1 species
CCUACGGGUGGCAGCAGUGAGGAAUAUUGGUCAAUGGGCGCGAGCCUGAACCAGCCAAGUCGCGUGAAGGAUGAAGGCCCUAUGGUUUGUAAACUUCUUUUAUAUAGGAAUAAAGUGAGGAACGUGUUCCUUUUUGUAUGUACUUUAUGAAUAAGCAUCGGCUAACUCCGUGCCAGCAGCCGCGGUAAUACGGAGGAUGCGAGCGUUAUCCGGAUUUAUUGGGUUUAAAGGGUGCGUAGAUGGUUUAUUAAGUCAGCUGUGAAAGUUUGUGGCUCAACCAUAAAAUUGCAGUUGACACUGGUAGACUUGAGUACAGUUGAGGUAGGCGGAAUGCGUGGUGUAGCGGUGAAAUGCAUAGAUAUCACGCAGAACUCCGAUUGCGAAGGCAGCUUACUAAACUACAACUGACACUGAAGCACGAAAGUGUGGGGAUCAAACAGGAUUAGAUACCCGAGUAGUC